rnacentral:rRNA from 1 species
CAUGCAAGUCGAGCGAGAAGCUAACUUCGGUUGGUGGACAGCGGCGCACGGGUGAGUAACGCGUGGGAAUUUACCUUUCGGCGGGGGACAACAGUUGGAAACGACUGCUAAUACCGCAUACGCCCUACGGGGGAAAGAUUUAUCACCGAAAGAUAGGCCCGCGUUAGAUUAGGUAGUUGGUAGGGUCAAAGCCUACCAAGCCGACGAUCUAUAGCUGGUUUGAGAGAACGAUCAGCCACACUGGAACUGAGACACGGUCCAGACUCCUACGGGAGGCAGCAGUGGGGAAUCUUGCACAAUGGGCGAAAGCCUGAUGCAGCCAUGCCGCGUGAGUGAGAAGGCCUUCGGGUUGUAAAACUCUUUUAGAUGUGAAGAUGAUGACGGUAACAUCAGAAAAAGCACCGGCUAACUUCGUGCCAGCAGCCGCGGUAAUACGAAGGGUGCUAGCGUUGUUCGGAAUUACUGGGCGUAAAGAGCGUGUAGGCGGCUUAGCAAGUUAGAGGUGAAAUCCCAGGGCUCAACCCUGGAACUGCCUUUGAUACUGCUAGGCUUGAGAUCGUGAGGGGAUAGCGGAAUACCCAGUGUAGAGGUGAAAUUCGU